rnacentral:rRNA from 1 species
CAGCCGCCGCGGGAAUACAGAGGGUGCGAGCGUUAAUCGGAUUUACUGGGCGUAAAGCGUGCGUAGGCGGCUUCUUAAGUUGGAUGUGAAAUCCCUGAGCUUAACUUAGGAAUUGCAUUCGAUACUGGGAAGCUAGAGUAUGGGAGAGGAUGGUAGAAUUCCAGGUGUAGCGGUGAAAUGCGUAGAGAUCUGGAGGAAUACCGAUGGCGAAGGCAGCCAUCUGGCCUAAUACUGACGCUGAGGUACGAAAGCAUGGGGAGCAAACAGGAUCAGAUACCCCUGUAGUCCCUGUCUCUUAUAC